UACGUAGGGUGCAAGCGUUAUCCGGAAUUAUUGGGCGUAAAGAGCUCGUAGGCGGUUUGUCACGUCUGCUGUGAAAACUGGAGGCUCAACCUCCAGCCUGCAGUGGGUACGGGCAGACUAGAGUGCGGUAGGGGAGAUUGGAAUUCCUGGUGUAGCGGUGGAAUGCGCAGAUAUCAGGAGGAACACCGAUGGCGAAGGUAGAUCUCUGGGCCGUAACUGACGCUGAGGAGCGAAAGCAUGGGGAGCGAACAGG
rnacentral:rRNA from 1 species